rnacentral:lncRNA from 1 species
UGCAUCCUGUGCGAAGCUGAAUGGAAAUUAUUCCAAGCUGGUGUGGCUCAUGUAUGGUGAAAGGCUGAUUGUACAACUUCUCACUCUUAACCACACUUGACAAUCACAACCACGUUUUAUCCGAGUAGCUGUGAAAUCUCUCUGGCUCUGUUCUUUUAUUCACGCAUGUUGUCACCAAAGUUUGUGGAAAAGAAAGGAAACCAGACACAAAUGAAGAGAAGAUAAAGAAAAAUGGGCAUGGUGUAACACAGAGUAAGUACAGCAGGAGAUGAAAAGACAUGGCUGGAAGAAGUUGUAGGAAGAAAAGCAAUUUUCCUCCUAUUUCUGUAUUUUAAGAUUUCAGUAUUUAAUUAAACAUUGAGUAUAUUAACCUGGU